AACGAACGCUGGCGGCGCGUCUUAAGCAUGCAAGUCGAACGGUAAGGGAGAGCUUGCUCUCCCCUAGAGUGGCGGACUGGUGAGUAACGCGUGGGUGACCUGCCCUGAAGAUGGGGAUAGCUAGUAGAAAUAUUAGAUAAUACCGAAUGUGCUCAUUUACAUAAAGGUAAAUGAGGAAAGGAGCUACGGCUCCGCUUCAGGAUGGGCCCGCGUCCCAUUAGCUGGUUGGUGAGGUAAAGGCCCACCAAGGCAACGAUGGGUAUCCGGCCUGAGAGGGUGAACGGACACAUUGGGACUGAGAUACGGCCCAAACUCCUACGGGAGGCAGCAGCUAAGAAUCUUCCGCAAUGGACGAAAGUCUGACGGAGCGACGCCGUGUGAAUGAAGAAGGCCGAAAGGUUGUAAAAUUCUUUUGCAGAUGAAGAAUAAGAAGAAGAGGGAAUGCUUCUUUGAUGACGGUAGUCAUGCGAAUAGGCCCCGGCUAAUUACGUGCCAGCAGCCGCGGUAACACGUAAGGGGCGAGCGUUGUUCGGAAUUAUUGGGCGUAAAGGGUAUGUAGGCGGUUAGGUAAGCCUGGUGUGAAAUCUACGAGCUCAACUCGUAAACUGCAUUGGGUACUGCUUGACUUGAAUCACGGAGGGGAAACCGGAAUUCCAAGUGUAGGGGUGGAAUCUGUAGAUAUUUGGAAGAACACCGGUGGCGAAGGCGGGUUUCUGGCCGAUGAUUGACGCUGAUAUACGAAGGUGCGGGGAGCAAACAGG
rnacentral:rRNA from 1 species